UACAGAGACUGCAAGCGUUAUUCGGAUUCACUGGGCGUAAAGGGUGCGCAGGCGGUUGGGUGUGUCAGAUGUGAAAUCCCGAGGCUCAACCUCGGAACUGCGUCUGAAACUACUCGACUAGAGUACUGGAGAGGGUAACGGAAUUCACGGUGUAGCAGUGAAAUACGUAGAUAUCGUGAGGAACACCAGAGGCGAAGGCGGUUACCUGGACAGUUACUGACGCUCAGGCACGAAAGCAUGGGGAGCAAAAGGG
rnacentral:rRNA from 1 species